rnacentral:rRNA from 1 species
UACGAGGGGUGCAAGCGUUGCUCGGAAUUAUUGGGCGUAAAGGGUAGGUAGGUGGUCUUAUUUGUCCGGGGUGAAAGCCUUGAGCUUAACUCAAGAAGUGCCCCGGAAACGGUGAGACUCGAGUACUGGAGAGGGUCGUGGAAUUCCCGGUGUAGCGGUGAAAUGCGUAGAGAUCGGGAGGAACACCAGAGGCGAAGGCGGCGACCUGGACAGUUACUGACACUCAACUACGAAAGCGUGGGGAGCAAACAGG